rnacentral:rRNA from 1 species
UACGUAGGGUGCGAGCGUUAAUCGGAAUUACUGGGCGUAAAGCGUGCGUAGGCGGUUCUCCAAGUCCGUUGUGAAAGCCCCAGGCUCAACCUGGGAAUGGCAGUGGAAACUAGGGGACUGGAAUCUGGCAGAGGGGGGUGGAAUGCCGCGUGUAGCAGUGAAAUGCGUAGAGAUGCGGCGGAACACCGAUGGCGAAGGCAGCCCCCUGGGCUGAGAUUGACGCUCAGGCACGAAAGCGUGGGGAGCAAACAGG